rnacentral:tRNA from 1 species
GCGGGUGUAGCUCAGCUGGUUAGAGCGCUCCCCUGUCACGGGAGAGGUCGCCGGUUCAAAUCCGGUCACUCGCG